GCUCCCUGCUGACGAGGGGCGGACGGGUGAGUAAUGCAUGGGAAUGUGCCCGGUAGUGGGGGAUAACCUGGGGAGACCCAGGCUAAUACCGCAUACGCCCUACGGGGGAAAGCAGGGGCUCUUCGGACCUUGCGCUAUCGGAUGAGCCUAUGUCGGAUUAGCUAGUUGGUAGGGUAAAGGCCUACCAAGGCGACGAUCCGUAGCUGGUCUGAGAGGAUGAUCAGCCACAUCGGGACUGAGACACGGCCCGAACUCCUACGGGAGGCAGCAGUGGGGAAUAUUGGACAAUGGGGGCAACCCUGAUCCAGCCAUGCCGCGUGUGUGAAGAAGGCCUUCGGGUUGUAAAGCACUUUCAGCGAGGAAGAAGGCCUGGUGGCCAAUACCCACCAGGAAGGACAUCACUCGCAGAAGAAGCACCGGCUAACUCCGUGCCAGCAGCCGCGGUAAUACGGAGGGUGCGAGCGUUAAUCGGAAUUACUGGGCGUAAAGCGCGCGUAGGUGGCUUGAUAAGCCGGUUGUGAAAGCCCUGGGCUCAACCUGGGAACGGCAUCCGGAACUGUCAGGCUAGAGUGCAGGAGAGGAAGGUAGAAUUCCCGGUGUAGCGGUGAAAUGCGUAGAGAUCGGGAGGAAUACCAGUGGCGAAGGCGGCCUUCUGGACUGACACUGACACUGAGGUGCGAAAGCGUGGGUAGCAAACAGGAUUAGAUACCCUGGUAGUCCACGCCGUAAACGAUGUCGACUAGCCGUUGGGUCCCUCGCGGACUUUGUGGCGCAGUUAACGCGAUAAGUCGACCGCCUGGGGAGUACGGCCGCAAGGUUAAAACUCAAAUGAAUUGACGGGGGCCCGCACAAGCGGUGGAGCAUGUGGUU
rnacentral:rRNA from 1 species